rnacentral:lncRNA from 1 species
AGAAGAAUGGAUUUGCAUGUUCCCAUUCAGUUGCUCUUAACUUCAGACAUAAGUAUUCCAGUUUUUUGAGUGCCGGACUACUAGUUUCUAUGAUAGGGCUGCCAUAUGCUUCUUUUCCUAGUCUCUGGUGAGUUACAAGGGUGUGUGCUGCCUCUGUGGUUCAAAGAAGACACUGUAUAAAAAUGGCUAAAUGCUCAUGUUCCCCACUUUCCCCUGUGCCUGCUGUAAGGGUUCAGGCAUAGGACAGGAAGUGAGCAAGAAGGCGAGGUAGGGGGUAGGGCUUACCAGGUGGCCUGCCACAGGUGUUCUGCAUAGCAGGCAGGAGUAGAGAUGCUGGGCUGUAAGGGAGGCAGCUUGACUAUGGGCAGUCCAGCAGUAACCCCAAGCCAGAAGAUCACUUUUUGUUUUGCUUGGUGUCAGCUCCUGAGGCGAGCAUCUUGGAGACCUAGCAAGAUGAGCCCUGCAGCCAAAUUCUGUCUGUCUACUGAGAAUGCGAGAGGCAUUUGUACAGCUCCUGGUAUGGCUGGCAGUAUCUGAGACUCUUGCAACCUUCCAACGUAUGCCGCUGUAAAGCUGAAAGGUGACUUUAUUGCAGUUUUUAUACAAAGAAAGAGCAGAAAUGCAUCAAAGGUAAAGGAUAAAAUCCAUGGCAGCCGUGGUCAUUUAUUUUUGUCUGAUCUAUACCCAGUGUAUGCUUCAGCUGUACACACUACUUAGGUGGUGGUUUGUGUUUUUUUUUUGUUUUGUUUUUUUUUUUUGUUUUUUUUGGUUGGACACUUUCAGCUUGUGCUUAUAUGAUGAGAAGAAAGAAGAAACACAAACUGGUUCUCUAGUGUCAAGGUGUGCGCCUGGAGACCAGAAGAACAAUGAAGAGUUAAAAAGGAAGAAGUCAGAAGUUGUUUAAAGAAGACGGUUUGUCACAGAGAACACGAGUGAGCGUGUGUAUGCGUGCACUGUGGAAGAGAGUCUACAGACAGACUCUUCCAGAGGUAAGGAGUAGUAAGUCUGAAAGAAGAGCUACGUACAUGUACGGUCUAUCUAGUUACUAAGGCAGCAGCAUUUCAGAGAAGCAUGGUACUGUGCUUUGUAAAGACUUGUAUGGUCAGACUUUAUUCGUGUUUUUGCCCUGGAGGAUUGAAUUGCAGAGUUUGAGUCUCAGAUCUGCUGAGGUAAACACUGUUAGGAAUAGGGAUAGCAAGGAGUCAAGGUUCAAAGUGAGA